ensembl:lncRNA
CCGGGACCUGGUCUCCUGGUUGUGUAUGUGGGGGGUCCUCCGGGGGAGGGGAGAAGAGGUGAAGCCACAGCUCCUCAACUUUCUUCCCUGGGGACAUGGACCUGUUCUAGAUAUUUCGGGGACCUCAGAUUAUUCUCUGUAGGAGAAAGACCCACUUCAGUGUUAAUAGCUGAGGUGUAUUGAGCCUUUCUUAUGUACCAGGUACUCUUCCAAGCGCUUUUCAUGUGUAAUAAGUCCUCCACAUACGGACCUUCAAGUUGCGAACUUUCAAACUUACAAACAUCCAUGUUCACGUGUGAGUCUCCCCUAUCGCUGAUGACCCUUCAGCGCCGCCGUCUCCUACCUCUCCCCGCCCCAGUAACUCUUCUUGCCUGCUCCCUCGAUGCCAGCCCCUGUGUGCCAGCUGCUGUACUGCAUGAUUGUACUUUUCAGGAUACUGUAUUGGAAGAUUAAGCGUUUCCUUUAUUUUGCGUGUGUGUUUUUAAUGUAUUAUUUGGGUGAAAAGUAUUAUAAACCUAUUACAGUACUAUAUAGCUGUUUGUGUGAGAUGGGUACCUAGUCUCAAUUUGUUGGACUUAUGAACAAACUGGACUUACUAACAUGCUCUCCGAACUUGUUCACAUGUAGGGGGUUUACUGUACUUUAAGGACUUUCCAUUUACUUUAUUCCUCACACAGACCCAUCUGAUAGAUGAGGAAGAACAGGCCCAGAGAGCUGAAGAGACUUGUCCGUGUGCACAUACCUAGGAAAUGGCAAGACAUUCAGAUCUACUUCUCAACCACUCGGCUACAAAGCCUCCUUUCAUUGCAAAGAGAAAGGGGAGAAGGGCGAGGGAGGGAGAUCGUGCACACGAUUCCUGACUGUAUCGCUAUUCGUAUAUAUGAGUUCAGCACCUGCCCUUCACCCUGCCUUUCCUUGGUCACCAUCAUUAUCAUCAUCUUGGUCAUUGGAAGUCCUUAUCAUGACCAUGUGGACCUCUCUAAUUUUAUCUCCUGGCUUCCUGCUCACUUGCUCCAGCCAUACAUGCCUUUUUGCUGGCACAUUCUUGCUUCAGGGCCUUUGCACUUGCUUUCCUAUUGUCUGAACAUUUCUCUCCUGAUAUCCACCUGCCUCCCUCUUUUACUCAUUUAAAUCCCUCCUCAAAUGUCACUUUACAGAGAUAUUAACUUUGGAUAAAAUAGCAUUCCCCAUCACCAUCUCUUUGCCUUACCCUGCUUAAUUUUUCUUCAUAGCACUCAUGACCACCUGAAAAGCAAUGUUAUUUUUUAUUGAUGUAUUUGUUGCCUGUCUCCUUAAGAGAAUAUAAACUCCUUUAAGGAAGGGGCUUUGUUUUGUCCAUCUCUGUAUCCCCAGUGUCUACCAGGGGUUCUGCUGUGUGCUUGUUAAUUGAAGGAAUAGAUAUUAACUUAUUAAGCCCUAGAAGGUAGCUACUCUUAAUUUAGAGGGAAACAGAGGCACAGAGAAAUUAAGUAACUUGCUGAAAUUCACAGAAGUGAUCAGUGAUUUAGCUGGUUUACAAACCCAGGCAAUCUCAGUGCAGAACCCUCAUUUUUACUGCCUUUGUCUCCUGAUUUCCUGUUUGCAUCUGACUUAUGGGGGUGGGCUGACCCCAAGGUGCUUGCUCUUGCUGACAAGUCAGGUGCUGGCUGAAUGGGCUGCAAAGGGCAGAAGUUCCCAUGGACCCUGCUCCUGUGUCUCCCAUAGCCUUUGCAGGAGGAGGGGACUUGGGAUCUACACGGCUUGGGGUGAGGAACCCAGGACAAGCUGGAGGUGGACUGCUUUGCAGGGGUGAGGGGAGUUGUCACCAGCUCACUCUCUGGCUCACUAGCCUGGCCCUGCCCCCCACCCCCUUGAUUACAUGGGGAUGAAACAAUGUUUUCCUAAGAAAAGCCACACCAGAGUGGUGGAAUUGGGCCCAGGGCAAAUCACAAGGGGAUUUAAUUCAGAUUUCACCUGCUAAAGGAAACUUCCAAGGCUUUGCCCCUUCCCUUCUGUAGCAGAUGUUGCUAGUGUUUAUACAGAUCAGGUUUGCUUCUCUUUCCUGGACACAUGGGUUUCCCAGGUGGCCCUGGUGAUAAAGAACCUGGCUGACAAUGCAGGAGACGUAAGAGACGCAGGUUUGAUCCCUGGGUGGAGAAGAUCCCCGGAGAAGGGCAUGGCAACCCACUCCAGUAUUCUUGCCUGAAGAAUCCCAUGGACAGAGGAGCCUGGCAGGCUACAGUCCAUAGGGUUGCAAAGAGUCUGACACGACUGAGCAAUUCAUUUCCUUCCUUUCAAAUCACAAGGGGAUUAAUUCACAUUUCUCUUGUCAAAGGGAACCUUCCACGACUUUUACCCCUUCAAUCUGUAGCAGAUGUUACUAGUGUUUAUGGAGGAGAGGUUUGCCCCUCUUUCCUGGACACAUGGAAAACAACCCUUUCAGCCCCUCUAUCCCACAUGAUAGUUCUUGCCAAUGAAAUAUGAUUGGAGGUGAUGUCUAUCACUUCUGAGCCAAGGCACUGAAGAACCUGGAUACUUACUGUUCCAAUUCUGGAGCAACGGUGGAGGCCAGGUAUUUCAAAUGGUGCAGCUAUAGGAUGGUGUCCGUCAGCCUGGGGCCCUGAAUUUCACUGUGCAAGCAGAGACACCCCUUCUGCUGAUCCUGACUAAGCCUGCAGUGUGGGCCACCAGUAAAUCUUAGUUGUGUUAUGCCAUGGAGAUUUGGGGUUAAUUUGUUACGCAGCUUGGCUUAGCUUUUCCUGACUAAUGCACCAUUUUUGAUCUGUUUUGUACAUCUUCAAUAUUGUGGCCCAUAUCUCAUUUGCCACCAGUGGGAAUGUAAAUUAAUACAACUUUUCUGGAAGACAAUUUGGCAGAGUGUAUAUAUGAAAAGCCCUAAAUAAGUGUAUUGUCUUUGACUCAGAAAUUUCACUUCUAGGAAUUUAUCCUAAGGAAAUAAUUGGACAAGUUCAGAAAGUUGUAUGGAUAAAGAGGAUAUUCAUCACACAAAAUGGUGAGAAAUUGGAUCAGCCUAAAUAUCCCACAACAGCAAAUUGGUUAAAUAAAUUGUGAUCCAGCUCUACA